rnacentral:rRNA from 1 species
UACGGGGGGUGCGAGCGUUGUCCGGAAUCACUGGGCGUAAAGGGCGCGUAGGUGGUCUGAUAAGGGUGUGGUGAAAGUCCGGGGCUCAACCCCGGAUCUGCCGUGCCGACUGUCAGACUCGAGGACUGUAGAGGCAGGCGGAAUUCCGGGUAUAGCGGUGGAAUGCGUAGAGAUCCGGAGGAAGACCGGUGGCGAAGGCGGCCUGCUGGGCAGUUACUGACACUGAGGCGCGACAGCGUGGGGAGCAAACAGG